rnacentral:lncRNA from 12 species
AAUAACAAUAGAUCGAUAUCUGCACUUGAGUUCCACCCUCCCCGGGACCACACUGCUCCAAACAACAGUUUUUAGAGAGCUGCAACACAAAAGAUACCGCAGUCAGCUCAAGCAAGGGGUUAUUUUUAGAUCAGAAAAAAAAAAAAAAAAAAAAGAGGAAAGGAGGGGAGGGGGGAAAAAAAAGCAGUUCUGGGUUUUGCAAUCUAAUUUGGUCCCUUUUCUUAAGGGGAAAAAAAAUCCCAUCAAUGGCAUUUUCCAUACAAUCUGAUUCCUAUUUGGCUCCUAGAAAAAGAAGCAGAGAUCUAGGGCUGAAAAUUCUGGAGUUUUAUGGCUGAUUCCAGCUAGUAGCCUUUCUUCACCAGGCUCCAACUGAAUUAAUUUGAUACUAUUUUUGAAAGUCAGUGUUUCUAAGGGAGACCUAAUGACGCACUGACGUCAAUGCAGGUCAAUAGCACACACUGCUGGAACUGGGCGUGCUACACCGAGCCAGAGCUGGAGCCUUUUCAAAUAGCCCCAACUCUGCAAAUAUCCCAGUUUUGCAGGGGUGGGGGGGCGAGAGUAGGGGGGAAGCCAGGGUUUGAGUAGCACGGAGACCCCCAACACUGCCCCCACCCAACGCCUUCGGAAUUGAUGCAUGUUUUCCUGAUGCAAAAAAAGAAAGAAGAAAAUCCACACAGAUACAAUCAGACGCACUGCAGUGCCAAAAAAAAAAAAAAUCAUACCUGUCAAAGGGACUGUAUGUGAUCCGUGCACACACACAUUUACGUUCAGAAUGCAAUGCAUAUUAUUAGGGUCUGUCUAUAAAUAGAUCCCGGGAGCGUGUGCAUGGGGACUCGGUCCCCAAGCCCGGUUUUUGAACGUGGGCGAUGAGUUCUUUGCUCUGAUCAGUUACUCGGGAGGUGCCUGGAGGUGUGGGGGUGGGCACGUGGGCGGGGGGCUGCCUCCUUCUCCUUCCCUCCGGCUCCCCCUCCUUUCCCCUCUUUUCCUCUCUCCCCCUCCCUCCUCGCUCACCUCCCCUCUCCUCGCCCUCCAUCCCUCUCUCAUUUCCUCCUCCUCUUCUUCUCCCUCCUUCAGCCUUCCCCACCCUUUCUUUCUUUCUCUCCCCCUCCCUCUCUCCUCUCCUUUUCUCCCCCUCCCUGCCUCCCCCUCCCUCUCCCUUCUCCCUCUCCCUCCAAGUCUGGCACUGAACGCGAACUGUUUUGCUUUGCUCCGGGAAGAGUGCAGACACAGAACGUGAAAUCCCGAGCUUUUUGCGUGGUGCAUUUAAAAUGCUUCCUUAUUUAUAUUACCCUCAUUCCCCCACCCCACCCACCCCCUCACCAGUCCUUCCAAAUUUCCCUAGAAAUCUAUGUAGAGCGCGCGGAGGGGAACAUUUGCACAAAAAGUGAAGGAGCUCGCCAAGCCCACCAGUUCAUGGUGACAGUAUCACAGCUUGGAAGACAGAAGUCAUCUGCUGAUCCCUUCUGA